GUUUUAUUAAGACUUAUUUAUUUAUAUUCUAUGUGUAUGUGUAAGUGUCUGCACGUAUGUAGAUAUAUUAUGUGUAUAUCUGGCACCUAAGGAUACCAGAGGUGGGUAUCAGUUCUCCUGAAACUAUAGGAACAGAUGGUUGUGAUCUACCAUGUGGGUGAUGGGAAUUGAACCUGGUCCUCUGCAAGAGUAGCGAGUAUUCUUAUCCCUCGGGGUCUUCUCUCUAGCCAUCAUAUCUUAAUUUUGAGACAGGGUCUCUCAGUAAACUUGGACCUUGAUGUUUCAGCUAGACUGCUGGCCAGCAACCUCCCAGAAUCCACCUGUCUCCACUCCUACAGUAUUGGAAAUAUAAAUGGUCACUGCUAUGCCAGGCUUUCUCAUGGGUGCUGGGGACCCAAACUCAGGUCCUCAUGCUUAUGAGGUGACCACUUUACCCACUGAGCCAUCUCCUCAGCCUCCUCCCCAAGAAGUUUAAAAGAAAAGAAUUAACAGCUCUAUCUGUAACCAUAAACUUUUCCAGUCUAGAUAUUCUACUCAGAAUUGAAACUAUUUUGUCAAAAAUGAUGUAGUCUCAUGAGGGGAAAAAAAAAGAGGAUUUUUUUUUUUUUAGAAAAGAUUCUGCAAUCUUUAGCCUGUCCAAUCUUAAAUGAGACUGGAUGGUAUUUAAGGUGAGAGUUUUUCCCAGUUUUCAAGCUGUUACACAAUUCUCAAUCUGCACUGAGACAUUUGUAAAAUGCAGAAUAUACUGCCUUUGACAAAAUACAAGAGCAAAAGUAGCAAAGAGAGGGAAGUGGGCUGCUAUGACAGUCAAUGACAUGGACAGCUGCUCCGGGUCCAUGGAGAUGGUGCACCCCCUCCAUUCUGCUCAAUCUACAACCCUUCCUUGAGGAUAAUUGAGUGCUAAUUCAAGUGGAUGAGGCAAUGGACCAACACGGGUUUCAUAAAAUAUGAAUGUUCUCAAGCACACAUUCCUUCCGGCAGCUGCUUCUUCGAGACAGCCCUGCAACUCAUAAUCACAUUCACACUGCGUCAAGGGUACUCAUUGGCCAACAGCAAGCCAUGAUUAACUCCUUUGUACCACUUGAGACAAGAGAAACAGUGAUCUUAGAGAGAAAAAAUAUGCCACUGCUUGCUUAUUGUCUUCAUUUUUCUUCAUAUUGUUGCCUUUGGUAACAGUACCACAGUUGAGGAUUAGAGUCUAGAGUAUGAUUGUCUUCAAAUAACAUGAGCAUAUGGUUCUCGAAGCGAGAACCCUCAAGAUCUGUUAAAGUUCACUGUUCUAUGGCAAUAGUAAAAGGAUGCCUAUAUGAUGAAAAACUUACGUCACAAGUUGGUGAACUACUAAUCUUCCACUAAAAUGAAUUAAGUUUAAUAUGAGUUAAAGAGUUGUUAAGUGUUUGCUCUUAGUCCUAGCAAUUAAGAGGCAGAAGACAGUGGCUUUUAUGAGUUCAAGGGCAGCUUAGUCUUCACAGUGAGUUCUGGUCUAAGCCAUACGAUCUUGUCCCAAAGCCACUAAACAAAUAAAUAAAAUUAAAACAGUGUGCUGACCAUAAAGAAACAUGAUGGUUUAAAACCAGGAUGAAAUACUUGCCAGUCCCCAACCAAAAAGAAUAUGAUUUAUGGUGUUUAGGGUACACACAAUAAUGGAAAUUUAUAACCUGUAAGUUUAUAUGGCAGGCAUGGGAAGGAUGCUGUGAUUUAUUUAGUCUUAGAUUCUCAUUUUCUAGUGAACAGGCUACCAACAUGCCUGCUAUACACGGUGGUCUUAAAUAAGAGACAACUCCCGAGGAAAAAUCUCCUUUGGAAGAGUAGAUAAACAGCCACAUCUGCCUGGAGUCGGGUUGUACCUCCCACAUGAAAGCCAUGGAAGACUGAAAUAGGUGUCAGCAGACUCUCACGUUCUGCCGCUCAAAACAGUCUUAGUUCCAUCUCACUCACAAGAAAAACUCAGGUUCACUUUUUGAACGCACACCACUGCUGAUGUCUCAUUCCUGCCUGGAACAUUCUAACCUGCUGCCCUCUCAUUCUAACCUGGAGCAUAUAACCUGUCUGCCCAGGGCACCAUUCAAACACACAGUCCAGGGUAGAAUUGCCUUGGUGGUAUCUGAUUUCCCUAUGGAAUUCUCCUUCUGGGUGGGCUCCUCUCACCUCUGCCCUCAUCCCCAAGAAGCUGUGCUUUGUUUUCACACAUCUUGAUUCUUCCACGUCUCGAAAAGAUGUCCUAUCACUACCCGACAGAAUAUAGAGACCUGCGAUCAAGCUCUGACAAGUUUCAUCUCAUUAGUGCCUUUUUUAAUCAUCAAGGGUGACAACCCAUGAUAAAUUAUGUCAAAACACGGGAUUCUAAAUGAGGAGAGGGAAGGUGGGAAGAAAGUGGCACGCUCUGAGAAUAGAUAAUGUUUCUUUUGCCUCGUUUUGAAAUUAAAGAGAAAGAAAGGCAAGCUGAGGGCAAAGAGGGCUCAGAUAGGAGAGGGAAAGACCAUGCUAAGAAGAAAUUAAAUGGGAUACUCAUUAUUUCCCAGUUCUGCUUUUUGACCUGUCUAUAUGGUAAGACAGAGAACUUGUCUGAAACUCAAAAUAUAAUAAUAAUAAUAACAACAACAACAACAACAACAAUAAUGUCUGGCAUAUUACAGUUUACACAGCUGUUAUGGUCACCUCUACACCAACAAAGCAGAUACAGCAUCCCAAAUCCUGGAUGCCUGGCCAGUCUCUAUCCACAAACCUACUGCCUCUCAGUGAACUCUCUAGAACUGAGCAGAGGUGAAAGCAGAGAUAGGUGGCAAAGGAGGGAUGAAGGAGAACACUAUGGGAGCCAUUAGAAGCCAUCAUGCAAGAGCACAUUCACACUCGGAAGGAAGCAUCUUCAGCAUUGGCCCCACCCACAGGAACCUCUCCACAACCCAGAACAAAAGACACAACUGCAAAGAAUAUCUAACAUGCCUGCUGACCUGACUUUUGUUCUCUGCUGACUACAGCUUUCCUGGGUUGACUGUAGGUAGGUUCCAGAAAAACUAGGUAGUAGCAGACAUAGAGCGGAAGCCCUGAAGAGGGCACAGAACUCCUGGUCUGAUUAUCACUCAGAGAACAAGCAAUGCUCAGGCAUGGCUGGUUUAAUCAAGCUUUCACUUAACGAACUACAAUUUGAGUUUAUUAAAAAAAUGUCUUGUUAUAUAUCUGAGCAUAUGCUUUAGGAGAGAGGGAGAAAGAUAUCACGAGAAGGUCAUGAGCACCCAUCCUACAGGAGGUAGGGGUGUCUUGAGGGAAAGUCCUAGGUAAGCCUUUAAGGGAACAAAUGAAACAUGGAAACCCAGUUUGGGGUGUACAAUGGAGUCUUGAGCUUUGCCUGAAAUGAAGGCAAAGCUGGGUUCAUUAUUUCAAUGUUAGAGACCAGAAGUCUAAUUGAAAUGCAAGCCCACAAUAGACUCUCCUUACUGCUAGGCCCAACGCAGGAGAAAAGUCUCUAAAUGGAAAACUGAGGCCUCAAAGACGUUCAGAGCAAAGUGUUUGGAGUUGUACUUCCUGCUUGCUCGUGUUUCCCUCAUAAAAACACCAGGUUCAAUCUAGAAAAGUAGAUAAAAAUGAAUUUCCCCCUCAACUCUGAUGAGCUAUGUAUUUACACCAGAUUAAACAUAUCUUCUUUAGUAAUUAAAGCCAAGAUAAUCAAUCAACAGUUUAUAUAAUUUCAGAUACCUAUUGUGCUACAUGCUCUUAACUCCCAUGACAAGCAAAACUGUCUGGAACUUACAAGAUAUCCGCCCGUCUUCAUCUGAAAAUAAGAGCUUUGUUACCACUGAUGUGACUUUCAGCAGCUUCUCUUCAGAAUCAAGCUUCCUUCAAGAAGUCCUAUAAUUCCCUCUUAUUUACAUUUCAAUCUAUAGCAACAGGGCAUCCCUUGCCACAACAUUGUCAAAACCACCAAUGUCCUGGCCUUGCCCAAUCAAAGAGACACUUUGAUUUGACAAAAUCCCCUUGGAAUUCAUCCAUGUCCCUUCCACAUAGCUGUCUGUGGUUCUGUCCCAUGACUGGAUGACCUUCUCGGCUGACCACAUCUCCUUUACUGUGCACUUGAUUGAUAGUACUCUUCCCUCCUUUGAACUGCCUUGAACCUUAUAGACUGUUCUUAGGCAUUCUCCUCACUCUCCCUCAUUCAUUCUGGGAGCUGAUUCAUUCAGAAUCCCUCUCCUUGACUUACCACACAGACAUCUUUUCUCUUCUGGUCCUUUUCCCUCAGGCGAUAUAGCUGGGACACAUUGUUGGUAUAUAAAUCAAAAUAGUUUUGAGAGACACAGUAGGUCUAGUAACCAGGAAAGGAACAGGUGCUCCAGUCAAAUGUGCAGAAGAGCGUAUUGGGAACUCUUCAGUGAACGGGCUCCAGGGUAGAAUGAAAUGAGUGGAUUGUGAUUAAGUCCCUCAAAUGCAGUACCACACACCUGUUCAUCAAAGUCAGUCUCCUCAUCCUUGUAAGGUAUUUAACGUUGGAUAUAUUAAUAUAAAUAAAUAAAUCUUAAGAAAAACAAAACACAGAGCAAAAGAGGCUCCUUACAUUCACAAGCACAAGUGAAUAAACAAACAUAUCCACACAUGUGCGGCAUGGGUGUGCAAGCACACGUACACACACACACACACACACACACACACACACACACACAGUGUUGUAGAGAGAAUUAUUCUCUUUUACUUUAGAAAAGAAAUUUUGAUUACCUGCGGGUUGCUAGCACAUGCAGUGGUAGGGUAAGACUGCAUCUAGGGGAAAGGAAAGACAUAUGGUACAAUCCAGGUAAAGCAAAACGGUGUCUAGGAGGCAGCAGGACCAGUGGUCCAAAGGAAAGAGCAUCAGCAGCAUCUGAAUGACCAAAGGACAGGGCAACUUAGUCAUGUCUAGAAGAGGAAGUCACCCUAGAAGGUACUAGACAGUGACCCCUUGGGGAAUUCCCAGAGAUUCACAGAAGGACUGUCAAGGGGACCCACAGCUCCUGUAGGUUUGGAGCCUGAGUCAGAAAAAGGUAGGCUUUCUCUUGAUGUGUUCUAAGACAGAGUCCCCCAGGUAGCUCUGGAAUUUCCCGUGUGGACCAGGAUGGCCUCCAACUGCUGGUAAUCCUCCUGCCUCUGCCUCCUAAAUGCUAGGAUUACAAGCAUGUACCACCGAACCUGCUGCCCCUGAAAGUUUUGUCCUGGAAAGUAAUGACUCACAGAGAAGUUGUAAAGUUAAUGAAGCUGUUAACUUUACUAUUAACGUUUCAUUAAUACUUUAGUAUUAAUGAAACUGUUGCUAUAAUGUUUUUGUUUUUCUGCAGUAAACAAAUCCCAUUUUAUCACAGGAUGACUCUUCCCUUUUCAGCUACAAUGUUUAAUUUUAUACAUACACACCCUUGCAUAGUGAGGUGAUACAUCUGGGAAGCUAUUAAGAUCUUACCAAACAUUAUCAAUUCAUGAUGGAGUGUGUCACACAUGUGAAGGGGAAGGAUUACUUGAAAUAAUUACAAAUAGAUUUUUGCUCACAGCAAACUCACAACAGGGCUCUCUUAAUAAAUAGUCUCUUUUUACUCCAGAGUUGACUUAGUGAAAGGGAUUAACUCAUGAUCUGAAAGCAGAUCUUAGCAGGGCUCAAAGGACAGUAUCCCACAAGACAUCUGGAGAAGCCCCUGAUUAAUGAAUAAGUUAAUUAACCAGAUAGCUGUACUCUUAGGAGAGAAUUUCAUUGUUUGGAUAAAGAAUCCUAGUAAUUCAACCUAAAAAUCACCAGUCAUGCCAAUUUUUGUAAAGCAGCAUCUGUUAAAUGAAUGUUCUUCUAGAACACUCUCUGUGACUCAGCACUUGUAACCCAGGAUACUGGGGCUGCCAUGACUCAGGGGAUGUUCUAGCUGGCCAUGAUGACCUAGAACCUUCACAUUGACCCCUAACCUCCCAUUAUGACAAGCAGCAUCAUGAACACCCAGCACAGAGUUCUCAAAUGUUAUUCAUCUAGAGUUCGAGACUCCAAAAACUGAAUCCUUGAAUAAAGUCUCUAAGCAAGUUAAACGAUGUGUUACCCUUUGCUUGUACAAUGGGUCCACAAGGCCCUCUCACACAGAGGCAGAGCACACACAGAGCCUCUUCUCUAGCACUGGCUUAGCAGGUGGUAAAGAUAUAAACAAACAUAAGUAAGGAGCAUGACUGUCAAGCAUAUAAAAUUAUUUUAAUGGGAAAUGCUGCUGGGGACGAGGCUCUGUGCUUACAAGAGGGUAAGUGUCUGUCAUGUGAGCACGAGGGAGGAAUGGCGUUCAGAGCCAUAGAAUUUGUUUUAAUGUCAGGUGGCAUUGGGGUCUCUUGUUAUAGCAUGUUAGGGUAGCUGGCUAACUAGGCUAGCUAAAUCUUCAAGCUCCGGGUCUCAGUGAGAGACCCUGCUUUCAGUAUAUAAGGUGGAGUCCAAUCAAGGAAGGCACACAACAUUUGACCUCCACAUCCCACCUAUGCCCCCCACCCCCCCACACACAGAGAGAGAGAGAGAGAGAGAGAGAGACAGAGAGAGACAGAGAGAGAGAGAGACAGAGAGAGACAGAGAGACAGAGACAGAGAGACAGAGAGACAGAGAGACAGAGAGACAGAGAGAGACCACGAGCGCCUGGUAAUAAAUUAAAAUAAAAAUAGAGAACACUGUUUAUAAAACACAAAACAUUCUUAAACCUUCACAAAGCGUUGAAUAAUAGCUUAUUAGUGAUCAGGGAAAGGGAGAGCUUAUUUAGUAACUCAAUAUUCAAAUCAUUUUUUGAAAAGGACACUCAGAACAAAUAGGUAAUCCUAUUUUGGUAGAAAAUAUCAUUUUAUAGAGUGAACAUUAGUUCUUGAUAAUCAGUUAACACACAGGAGUCAGUGAUCCAGAUAAAACAUGCAAGUGAAAAUUUUGCCAGAGUAUCAGCUAGGACCCUAAUCACAGACCAUGGGUUUAGUUCAUCUGAAACUGGAGACAAACAUCUAAUCCAUUGUUGAAUAAUACUAGGUUGAGACUUUUAACUAUUGAACAAGAGCUACUCUGGUAAAUAUGCAGUGAAUAAGGACACAGAUGCACCCACACAUCUGUCCACACUAUGAUAUAUUGCAUGAUAAAAGUUAUAGAGACUGUUAAUGAAAAUAAGAAAAGAAACCCCAUUUGGGAAAACCAUAUAAACAAAAUCAGAAUCCCUGCCAAGAGCAAAAAGUUCAGGAGGAUAAAAGAAAUGGUAAAAUAAUCUUGUUUUCUAGACAAUUUUCAAUUACUUUUCUGUGGUGGCAAGUAGCAUACUUAACUAUGAAUGAGCCUCAACAUUUUUUGGGCAGGUUAUAAACACAAAUAAGAUUUCUUUGCUAAGCUUGGCAAUCAUAUAAUACACUCUGCUAAAAGACACCUGUGUCUUGAUACCAAGAUCCUAGCGGCUGGUGGGACAGCCCAAUGGUAAGGUGCUUGGCUAGCAUGUAGAAGACCAUGGGUUUGAUUCCUGUCACUACAAAAACAAGCAAACACAUCUAAAGAUAACUCUAAACUAUACAGAGAGGGCAUAUUAUUGUUUUCCAGGUAAAAAUACUGAAGGUCAGGGAACAUAGAUGGCUUGCCUGUGAGUAAAACUUUGUACUUGAGUCACUCCUCCUGGUGGAUGGGUGAGUGGGGGAACCCAGUCUUGAACAUCUUAACUCUGAGGGAGGCAGAAGAUCAAGUUGAUGAAGACUAGAUUGUGACCCAAGUUAAAACCUGAAUGUUGCUAAUUCUUGGGGAAGUCACUUUAAGGUUCGGACUGCUACAGGGAGGAAGCAAAGGGCAUUUGAUUUUUUUCCCCCCAGACAAUAUUAAAAUCUACAAUGCCCGUUCCUGUCAUCCUUUGAAAAAUAGAUUCCCUAGAUGGGGCAAGCAUUUUUCAAUGUUUUAAAGGGCAGCUUGGUGGAGCAAGUCUCACUGCUAGUUCAGUUCCCAUGGAGACCUGGUCCACAGCUGUCCUCACCAGCACAGCAGCUAUGUGUCAGGUGGUUUACGAAAGUUAUUCUACCAUAUAGAAUUAACAGCUUCCCUGAGCUUCACAUUCAGAGCUGGGACUGGAAAAGCAAGUCCAGGCUCAGUGUUAUAGAAAACCACCACCUUCAGAAGAAAAUAAGCAUAAAAUACUUAACAGAGUAAGACCCAAUACCGAAAUGGCUUCAGCUUCUCUCAGGAGUCUCCAAAGAACUAGCAGAAUGGACCCCGAUUUUCUUCAUAUGACCAACGUUUGUAGAGAUGCUACUUGGUGAUCACUUUCGCCAAUUCUCAGUGAAGACUCUUCCAACUUUUCUUUCCCCAAAGCCAGUUGUUUGGAUGGAUCCUGCACUGUUCCCUGCUUCCUGAUUCUCCUCUUUCUCUUUUGUUUGCAGUUCUGAGGACAGAACCCAGACCUUCACAGCAGACAGCAAGUGUCCUACCAGAGAGCUACAUCCCCCAGUCCUGCUGCUCAAUGCUGGAAAGAUUCAUGUAUUUUCAUAAAUCUACUGUCUGCUCAAUAAUUCUCCUUAAAGUGGAAACAGAUAUUGCCAGCGUACACCUUUGUGGCAGAACCAGUUCGAUGAGGACUCGUCGUACAAGCUCUACCCCAUUCAGCUUCGGAACUCAGAACCCGGCAUAAUUAAAAUAAGUGACAUCUGUAAACUUCAUUAUAAUCUCGGUUUGCUUUCAAUAUCAUAUUCCUCCAAAACCUACGGCAAGCCAUGCUAAUAAAGAGAGUGGGGGACGACUGCAUCCUCCUUUCUGCUCUUUCCUGACCUCCAAUCGAGUCCUAACAAGCAAAGAAAUGAACGAGAGCCGAGGGAGGGAGGGGGACAGGCCCCGAGAGCGCAGAUAAUUCACACACAGUCUAAUUAAGUUAUAAUGAAAGUGCUCCUUGUGGCACUUCCCUCCUUCGCUCCUACUGCUUUUUGUUUUAUAGUCGUGGGGUGAGUUUGUGGAGAAAGUUAGCAGGCCUCCUGCAAUGGAUGCUUGCCCCGACCUACAGACACAUGUGGAAUGUGAGCGCCAGAGAUCUUGAUGAAAAGAGCAGAAUGUGGUCAAAUACGGAAUGCGAAUGCACGCUUUUGUGGGUUUAAUUCUUACGAAACCCACGUCUGAGUUUUGUCAGCCUCUGAAAGACCUUCAGUCGCCAGUCGGAGUUGGUGUGUUUCAUCUAGAAUUCAGCUAAUCCAGUUGGGCUGUUUCUUAUCAAUGCAAAGACUAUCAAGACCAAGAGGUGAGUGACGUCACUUCCCAUUACGACUUAAACUCUGUGCUAUCGUUGCCUCACCUGCCCAGGAACUGAUACUUCCCUGGGUUGUUAGAGGGUUAAGUGGAAUCCAUCCUUAAUAACAAAAGCAUGACUCCCUUCCCCUUCAAAUGCAGAAUUCAAGGCCCAUCUCCCUCGCCUCAUGGCCCUUCCCCCCUUCUCUGCUACCCGCCACACAUUCUGACUGUCACAGACAGAAAAGUAGAUGUCUCUGACGGCAUUUUAAAUCUUUACAAUUUAUUUUUUAACAGAGCUCUAAUACUUAAAGUCAACGGGUAAAGUUGAAGUUGCUCCUUGAGAUAAUGUGUAUUAUUACACAUACAUAAAUCACACACACACACACACACACACACACACACACACAGAUAUAAAUGUGUGCCUGUAUGUGUACAGUUCCUAACUCUGAAUAAGUAGUGAGAACAAAUCCCUGCUCUGGAGAGGGCAGGCAUUGGAGGGCUCAGCUGUCCCUGGGCAUUGUUACUAAAAACAAAAACAUUCAAGUAAGAAAUUAUUAUUGUUUCAUGGGGGGGGGGUGUUAAGUUCUAUAAAGUGAUAUUUAAGUCAUUGUUUAAGGACUCUCUAUAAGCCAGGGGUCUCCAUAAAACACAGAAGCAUGGCAGUAAGCCAAACUUUACCAAUACGAAUUAUACCUCUAUGGGGUAAUUCAUGUCUGAAACACAGGAGAGAUCGUUAGCACAGGCUCAACUACAAACAGAAUCAAAAACUAUUAUUUUAAGCUCCAGGAAAACUUAUGAAUACAUUUCCAUUGGCAUAGACAAGGUCAAGCAGAUAAAAACUCAAGCAGCUGGUCAAAAUUCCUUGUAACUUAGCAGAUAGAUCACUCAUUGCUUCAAAUGCACAUAUUUUCUACAUUUUUAAAUGCAGGAAGUACAAUAGAGAACUUCAGUCCAUUUCAUUUUUCUUUUCUUUUAAAAUAUUCUGGGGAUUAAGGGCAGGGUCUUGUGAAUCUCACAUAGGCAGUCUGCGUCUGCAGCACAACACAGUCUGGUUUGAAGAUGGCUUUACCAUAUGCAUGUCCACAAUGUCAUAAUGUGGUUGUCAUGUCUGGUAGUCCAACUGCAGAGCCACAAGCCACUCCAGUAAACAAGCCAUAUAAAAGCCAUUUGAGGAAAGAAUGGGUUGGAAAACCUUCAGUAGUCAGCCAUGGAAUAGCCUCAAGAAUGUUCCGACAUCUAAACUCAGAAGAGUUGGGAUCUAAAAUCGAGAGGCACAGACUCCC